UGGAAGCUUGAAUGAUAUAUAUGGAAGCUGAAAUGCAAUGUUUUAUGGUAUCAGUCAAUUUGUGCAACAGUUUCUUUUGUGAUGCUUGUGUGUGUAAAACUUGGACAACAAAGUCUGUCCACAUGAAAAUGCAACUGUUGUAUGAUUCUCAUCAAACAAGAAAGCAGAAUGCUAUAUCUAUUAUGUGAUACAACAGUCCAAAUAUAUCAGUUGUAGGUUAUUCAACGUCACACAACAGUAAAGAUAGGGAAUAAACCGUUGUAGCUUACUGAAAAAUACACAACGAUAGAAAUGAAAACCAACAGUUGUCUGAAAAGGUAAAAAUACAACGAAAAUGUUUUAUUGUUUGUUGUCUAAGUGGACUUGUCGAUGCCGCGCAUGGCAUCGAUCUGCGCAGCGACUUAUACAACGAAAGUAUUGAACUGUUGAGAAAAAUGUGAUCACACAACGGUGAUUUCCACACUUAUCUGAAGAUUCAAUCAGACAAGCCCGAGAUAUACAACGGAAAACCUAUAGUCACACAACGGUGUUCCAACAGAAGUAUGAGCAUUACGAUAGAGGGCAAGACAAGGGCAAACAACAUGACACCUCCCGGGAUAACAACCAGGGAUGUGGUUCAGACCGUCGCCAUAGUGGGCAGCGGGGACGGGACCAUCCUUAUCGGUCCCAAGAGCAGAGCCCCCAGCAGCAACAACGUCGCUCCUCCCCGUCACCCCGUUAUGAGGUCCACACUACCCUGACCACUACAUAUGAAGAUAUAUGGGCCAAGCAUAAAGACCUCAUGACACGACCCACCCCAAAUUUCAUCCUGAAACCCAGAGUAAGUCGUGCGGGGACCACCUCCAAGGAAAAUUUACCGAAAAAUCGGCUUAACCUCCCUUGAAAAUGGACUACCCUUCCUAAUAAUACCUGCAAACACUUUUGAAAAUUUAAAUCCAACCUUAAACUCCUGGAGCCUCCGUGCUCCCCAAAUCACAACACCACCCAAAUUAUUUACUAAUCUAAACAAAUCUCAUAUCCAACCAUUUAUAGGUUUAGAGCAACUCUAACAGGAAGAAAGGAAACAUAAUAAAUUAACAAACGGAAGCUAUAUGAUGACUAUGCCUCAUCCCCAUGUACGCCCGACCUCAACUAUGCAAUCCUGCAAACUGGGCAUUUUUAAAACGAAGAGCCCAAGGGAAAACAUUUGAAACAAGUUAGAGUGAGUGGACAAAAAUAAAUUAACGAAUAAAAUAUUUAUGUUUCCCUAAAUCAAUUUCCAAGGAAAAUCGAAUGCAUGCUGCAAGCGAUAAAACUUUUAUCUCAUAAAUGUCGAGCCUCUCAGGCUUUAUAAUAUAUGUAUGUAUUUACACACGUCCAUACUCCCUAUAUAAAUUCAUGGGUCUAUAUAGGGCUACUACGCUCGCGUCCAACGCUCACGUCACGUCUUAAUGCGGUGCUACACUACGCCAUUAAGGUGGACAGACGGGUGUAUAAAUAUGUGCCCAUACCCCCUAUAUGAAUUAAACACUCAUAUAGGGCUACUACACUCACGUCCAACGCUCACGUCACACCAUAAUGCGGCUAUAUGCUACGCCAUUAAGGUGGACAGACACAUAUGGCUAGCUAGCAUUUAUAUACAUACUCUCUCAUAAAUACAUAUUUAUAUCCACCGAAAAUCCCAUUUGCUCCUCGGCGGACGGCGGCGGGAGGACGGCCGGAAAAUUGGGCAGCGGGAGGAGCUCGGGGAGAGAGAAAACCGGGAAGAAAAAAAAAAAAGAGAAGGGAGAAAAUGGCUUUGGGCCUCCUCCCCCCAAACCGGUCCAACUUAAUACCCAUUUGAAAACAAACCCAACUCCAAAAAUAAAACACCCCGAAAAUAAUACCCGAAUAAAAAUUACCUUUUACUAGCUAAAAUUUACUAUUUUUACCGUUGUCAUAUUUUCUCCCACGAAUAAUUCCCCGAAAUUAAUCGUCUCUCAAAACACCUCUAGGGACCGAUUAAACUAUUACCUCAAUGAAGGAGACAGUAAAAUUCUUAUUAUAACCAAGCUAGUAAAUAAGGUAAAAAUUUAAGGGUCGGGAUGUGACAAUUCUCCCCUCCUUAUAAAAAUUUCGUCCUCGAAAUUUACAUACCUGACAAUCAAAAAGAUAGGGAUACUGCUGCCUCAUUUGCUCCUCUGAUUCCCAAGUAGCUUCCCCUACUUGAUGACUCCUCCACAGAACUUUAACAAGAGGAAAAAGAUUUGCAUCUAGCACUUGCUCCUUUAGGUCGAGAAUCUGAACCGGCUCCUCAUCAUAGGCCAAAACUUUUUUCCCAAUUAAUCGACUGCUCUCGCAACACAUGAGAGAGAUCGGCAAUAAACUUGCGAAGCAUGGAUACAUGAAACACAUUAUGUAUCCUGGAUAACUCUAGAGGCAAAACUAACUGAAACACAAGAGAGCCAACUUGAUCUAAAAACCCAUAAGGACCAAUAAAUCUCGGACCAAGCUUUUCACGUUACCAAAACGUACCACCCCUUUCCAAGGGGAUAAUUUCGAAAAACACUCAAACACUCACUUGAAACUCAUGGUCCUUCCUGCGGACAUCUUUAUAACUCUUCUGGCUACUAAGAGCUGCUUUGAGUCUAUCUCUGACUCUUUUAACCUUUUCAUUUCUCAAAGACUCUAAAUCCUUCGUUGAACUAUCACUAACGUUUGCACGUAAGUGAGUUCAGUGAUACCUGCUCCAGAGUACGAGUACCUGUAGGUAUGCACACUCUUUCCUGAGCAAUGGAAAUAGCUAACCCAAAUAAAACGCAUAAAUUUGCUAUCACCAUCGGGCUCAAAUCUCCUAACAUCACGCAACAACCUCGUCAUUACGUUGCUCACAGCUCGACAAUGAAGCCCACUUGCUAGGAAACUAAAAUUCACACAUUCCCACAUGCUCAUAGGGGUCAAAAUUAAGACCCGAUAAUUGAACAGAUUUUUAAGGAUGCACACACUACAACAAUCACUCCUAUUUCUGAGACACCUCGCAGAGUCUUUCGCGGAGCCAAAGCUCUCGCAAGUCCACAAGAUAACCUUGCUCUACCUAAAUGACCAGUCCACCAACAUAUGAUAACCUCGAUUGCCUAAAUAACAUUAUGAAAAGAUCAAUACCACGACACUUAGAUCUCUCCACCAAAACUAUUACAUUACCAUUUUAUGCACCACAAACUAGCAACUUAUGGGAAUUUCCAACUCUCUCCUGAUUCUGCUAUCUCCACUAUUAUUUACCACAAACCAGAAGAUAAUCUGAAGCAUGACUAACAUGUGGAAACUGGAUAUUCCUCCUUGCUCGCCAUAAACAAAAAACUAAUUAAUGCCCACGAAGAUUGGCACAGUCAAUUCAUGAUGCCAAACUUGACGUUGAAAUCCACAUAAAUAGAACACCUUCCUUAAGCAUUGACAAAAAUUUACAUCUCCAGCCAUGCUACUUAUUCGGGUGCAACUACGACCCCAAGAGCAGUAAUUAAAAGCACACGGCUCACGCUAGCCGUUCCAUAAGAAUGAUUCUAAAUACCAAAACCUUUGAAUCCGACAAAUACAUUUCCUUUUUUUUUUUUUUUUUUUUUUUAAUUUUACCUUUUACCUCUAACAACAAUAAAUCUGAUAGCAGAAAACAAUCUGAAAAUCAGAUAUGCUCAAGUCUCCUCCACAUCCUAGGGCCACGACUUCCCACCAAAAAGAUUCUUCGAAAACCGAGCUUGCAAUAACAUGCGACUAACAAAAGCAAAGAAAAAUUUUUAUACAAGACCCACUACUACACCUUGUGGUUCACCAACUAACGAAAACCAUGAAUUCAAGCAAGAAUCAAAACUCAUGGCUUAACUCAGCUCAAGCUCCAAAAGAAAUAAUUUAAAGCACACGAAAAGCAAGUCCUCUAACUUCGAGCUCAAAAGCUCCACAGAUCUCCGAUAUCCGCCAGAACCCGCUUCGAAAUCACACUAGAAACCUCCACUAAUCAUCCUGACACCAACAGAUAAACGCACAACCAAAAAGCAAAGACCUCCCAAACAAAAACUUGGAUCAAUGAGUGGUCCCACCACAAAACGAUCCUGAGAAGAGACGUUGAUCAACCUAUCAAUAAAUCUACUAUUCGCCAUAAUAAUCUCUUAAUAAACCUUGACUCGAAAAUCUUCUUGAGUCAACAGGGGAAAACCUUCUCCCAUAAUGCUACAUCAUGAAAUAUACCUACAAUAGAGACCAAAAUCAUCAGAAAACUUACUAUUCAUCAACUACUAACAUCCAUCAUUUCAAAAUAUAUUACCACUACCAUCUGGAUAAAAUGCUCUAAGGAUAGAAACAUAUCCAUAAUUAGCACUGCAGAAACCAGAACAUAUACCGCCAUAACCAAAAUUAUCCCAACAUGUUCCCAAUUGAUUUAUGUUGCGGAUAAAAUUGUCGGCAAAAUAGCCUUCAAUCAAGACUUAUCUAAAUUCACAUUUAGCUCUUUAUGCAGCAAUACCUUACCACCCAAUCACUAGCCACAAAUUUCCUAAAACCUUGAUUAACCCAAGACUAGGGUCCUCAACAACUCAUAUAGGUACCCCUUUGAAUUACCAUUGGAUACCUCACCUCAUCAUUUCAACUAACUUUUUCAUCAAUAGAAUACACCACUAUUUCGAACUUUCCUUUCAACUCAACUCUCUUAGAAGUCACGUAACUCAAUACCAAAAUCUCCCAUCAAUCAAUUUUUGACUCCAAUCUUGCCCACUAAAAAAAUGGACAACUCCAAGGCAUUAAUCAUCAACAUUUCACCCAACAUAUUUGCAGAAGAUGCUCACCUUAGCAUCUUAAUCUGAAACCUUAAUCUUAAUUAACCCAAUCAAUCAUUGGAUACCUGAAAGGAAUGCUAACAAGCUUUUUCGUUCCCCACUCGCAAAACAACUCCAACAAUUAAUAUCAAAGAUAUUAAAUUAAUGAACUUUGGAAUAGGUGCAAACUAUACACCUUUUCAAAACUCGAAGGAUGAACACUCAAGAGGUCAGCGUACUAAGGCAUAGUUUUAGAGAUGUAGACAUUUAUGGCACACUACUGUCCAUAAAUAAAAGAAGAACAACUACAUCACAACCCUAAUCAACACAUAGUGUCUUAAGCAUAUAAUGCUAAUAGAUCCGCCGCGGUUGGACAAUCACUCUAUAGACACUAAGUGCGACCAAGAAUAUAAGGUAGUACUAAAAAAAGAAAGGAAACGAAUAACCUAGUGCUCUGAUACCAACUGACACGACCCACCCCAAAUUUCACCCUGAAACCCAGAGUAAGUCGUGCGGGGACCACCUCCAAGGAAAAUUUACUGAAAAAUCGGCAUAACCUCCCUUGAAAAUGGACAACCCUUCCUAAUAAUACCUGCAAACACUUUUGAAAAUUUAAAUCCAACCUUAAACUCCUGGAGCCUCCGUGCUCCCCAAAUCACAACACCACCCAAAUUAUUUACUAAUCUAAACAAAUCUCAUAUCCAACCAUUUAUAGGUUCAGAGCAACUCUAACAGGAAGAAAGGAAACAUAAUAAAUUAACAAGCGGAAGCUAUAUGAUGACUAUGCCUCAUCCCCAUGUACGCCCGACCUCAACUAUGCAAUCCUGCAAACUGGGCAUUUUUAAAACGAAGAGCCCAGGGGAAAACAUUUGAAACACAUUAGAGUGAGUGGACAAAAAUAAAUUAACGAAUAAAAUAUUUAUGUUUCCCCAAAUCAAUUUCCAAGGAAAAUCGAAUGCAUGCUGCAAGCGAUAAAACUUUUAUCUCAUAAAUGUCGAGCCUCUCAGGCUUUAUAAUAUAUGUAUGUAUUUACACACGUCCAUACUCCCUAUAUAAAUUCAUGGGUCUAUAUAGGGCUACUACGCUCGCGUCCAACGCUCACGUCACGCCUUAAUGCGGUGCUACACUACGCCAUAAGGUGGACAGACGGGUGUAUAAAUAUGUGCCUAUACCCCUUAUAUGAAUUAAACACUCAUAUAGGGCUACUACGCUCGCGUCCAACGCUCACGUCACAUCAUAAUGCGGCUAUAUGCUACGCCAUUAAGGUGGACAGACACAUAGGGCUAGCUAGCUUUUAUAUACAUACUCUCUCAUAAAUACAUAUUUAUAUCCACCGAAAAUCCCAUUUUCGGUAACUCUCCAAGAGAAAUAAAAAUCGUCAAAAUUAAAAUGACGUCAAAAUGUUCCACAACAUUAAUUGUUCAUCUAUGAACUAUAGCAUGCAUUUUAUUUAAAACAAAAGUCCACUCACAACUCUAGGCAUAAGCCCGACGAAAUCCAAAUCGCCACUCCAGAGAGGUUUCCUUGAACCCUGGCACAAAUACAAAAUUAAUUUCCCAACUAAAACUCCAAUAUUUAAACAAAAUAGGCAAAAUUAACCGAGAGCCAUAACUACGCUCAUCAUUGCCUAACUUCAAUAUUCUUAAAUCGAAACGAUCCGAACUUAAAUAUCAUACUCGGCAGCCGUAAUUACAACCUCCCCAAAAAUACGACUUCGGAAAUUCAUAAACCUAUCCAAAACUCAUACAAAAAUUUCAUAACUCACUUCAACAAACUCCCCUUAAUAUUCUAAAUUUAAAACCCUAAAAAUCUUCCAAACAGUGGCGGCGGCUCCGCCGGUAGCGGCGGCCGGAGGCCGAUUCCGGCGACCUCCAAAUCCUACCAAAUUUUAACAGUAGCUUCCUCUCCACUCCCUCUACAACUUUCCUAACUAGCACAAACCCAAAAUCCAAGCCUAACUAGGUCAAACGAGCAAAAACAUCUAAAACACCCUAGAACUUCCACCUCUAAUUUCUCCUUACCUGAAGCGAACCGGAGUGAGCCCUUUUAGGGCAAGGCAGCUGGGUUGGAGACCUUCAAAACCGUACCAAGCUUGCCCGGAUUGGUGGCCGGAGGAGGGAGUUCCGGCGAAGUGAAGCUUUGGACAGUCGGACCUUUAGGGGGAGAGCACUCUUUCACGACGGAGCUAGGGAAGCUGCUACCGAUCCAGGGAGGUAGCUGGGAUGAUGGCCUACCGAACGGGACCGGUGCGGUAGNNNNNNNNNNNNNNNNNNNNAGCAGUACCCACAAACAUCUUUUAUUAGUAAGAUUUACCAGAUUCAAAAAUAAAAAAUUUGACCUUUGCUGCUGCAUUAUGAGAAAUAUGCAAGUUUUCUGUUAUGUAAUAAUCGUUGUAAGCAAAUGUUAAUAUGCUAUGCUUCUUCAGUAUAACACCAUAUAGGAGUCAGUUUCAUACACGCAAUUUAGUGUUUGGUUAGUUAGACAUUUGAUUAUGUCAAAGCUCUUUCAUAAAUUUGGUUAUCAUCAAUUGUAUUAGUUCUGCGCCCAAAUCAUAUUUACACUUUCUAUUGCUUUGCUAAUGCAAUUAUAUAUUAAUACUAAUAUUUCUUUUCUGUGCUUGAUUAAUACUUCUAUCUAAUGAUCUGAUAUGUGUUUCUCAUAUGUGAUUUGAACUUGAUUUGCUCUAAGAGCUGUGACAGUUUAUUUGAUGAUUUCAUUAGCAUAUUACAUCUAUCAGUAAUAUAUGUAUAGGUUUCUUUGGUUAUCAUUUUCAGUCAGUUCCAAGGCCUUUGUUUGAUUUCAUUAUUCUCCAGCUUUUAGAGUUAGGUCUGUGUGUUUAAACUUAAGGCAAGAACAAAACCUGCAAAUCUGAAACAUUGUUUCUGAAAUUCUGCAUCAGUUAGCUUUCAUUUGAAAACAGUACAAUUUCAUUUGGAAUUUGAAGUUGGUUUCUUCAAGAGAUUUGUAGUAGACAUCUUAAGGUUCAUUCCAAAUUUUGAAUCACUUGAAAACGAUUUGGAAGAUGAAAUUAUGAUUUUUCAAAGUUUAGGGUCUGCAUCAGGAAAUUUUGCAGAUCAGUGUUUCUGAGAUUUUGACCAGUUCCCUUUCUUUCAGAAAAUUGUAUAAAUUGGUUAGUUGUUUGAACUUGGUGUCUUCAUGAAAGUUUGACUAGAGACCUUAAUGAUCGUUUUAGAACUGGAAUCUCUUGAAAAUAAGUUUUCUAGAAUUAGUUAUGAUUUUCCAAAGUUACAGCUCAUUUGCAUUUUUUUUUUGAAAGUUACAGCUCAGUUUGAGCAUAGCUUAGCAAGUACAUGUCUUGAGGACAGUAAUGCAGUCUUAUAUAUCAGCACUUCUUUAUAUUGUAUGUAUAUGAGCAAGUACUUGUUUUGUGUGAUUUAUAUAUUUGUGUUGUUGUAUAUUUAUAUAAUGCAGGUUCUGGAAGCAAAAGAUGUUUAUAAAGAUAAAGAAAAGCAUACUUGUCUACACCCAAUAUGAUUUGGAUGUGUUAAGGAAGGAGUGGGCAAAGUUCAUCAUCAGCAAAUACCUGUAGGGUGCAUGAUCUGGUCUGUUUUGGUGAACUUGUGCUUUCUAUAUGUAUGUGGUAGUACUUUGCUUUUGAACUUGGUGUUUCUAUAUAUUCGGAACAUCUAUAUGGUAGUACGUACUUUGUGCAUUUCUCAUGUUGGAAUGUUUUUGGAUAUGUAAGACUAUCUAGGAGCUUAGCUAGUUGCUUAUUUUCAGUUUAUUAUUCAGCUGUAAUAUUGUUUGUGUCACAUCCCGACUUUUAUAUUUUUUUUACCUUAUUUACUAGCGUGUUUAUAAUAAGAAGUUUACCGUCUCCAUCAUUGAGUUAAUAGUUUAAUUGGUUCCCAGAGGGGUUUCGGGGACGAUUAUUCGUAGGAGGAAAAUAUGGCGACGGUAAAAAUGGUAAAUUUUAGCUAGUAAAAGGUAAUUUUUAUUUGGGUAUUAUUUUUUCGAGGUGUUUUAUUUUUGAGUUGGAUUGUUAUAAGAUUGGACCGGUUUGGGGUGUGAGGCCCAAAUCCAUUUUCUAUCCUCUCUUUUUUCUUCCUGGUUUCCCUCUUCCCCGAGUCUCCCGCUGCUCGGUUUUCCGGCUGUCUUUCCGCCGUCGUCCGGCCGCCGUUCGCCGCCCCUCCGGUCCCAUUCGGUUGCCCUCCGACCCAGCUACAUCCCUGGACCGGUGACAGCCACCCUAGCGCUGCCAUGAAAGAGUUCUCCCGCCUAGAACCUCGAGCAGCCCAAAGUCCUCCAUCGCCGGAACUCCCUCCUCCGGGCACAAAUCUGGGCAAGCUUGGUAUGGUUUUGUAGGUCUCCAACCCAGCUGCCUUGCCCUAAAAGGACUCACUCCGGUUUGCUUCAGGUAAGGAGAAAUUUGAGGUGGAAGCUCUAGGGCGUUUUUGAUGUUUUUGUUCGAUUGGCAUAGCUAGGCUUGGAUUUUGGGUUUGUGCUAGUUAGGAAAGUUGUAGAGCAUGAUGAGAGGAAGAUGCUGUUAAAAUUUCAUAGGAAUUGGAGGUCACCGGAAUCGGCUCCGGCCACCGCUGCCGGCGGAGCCGGCGCCGGCGCCGGAGCUGUUUGGGAGAUUUUAAUGUUUUUAGAUUUGGAAUAUUAAGGGGAGUUUAUUGAAGUGAGUUAUGGAAUUUUUGGAUGAGUUUUGGAUAGGUUUGUGAAUUUCCGAAAUUUGGUAUUUUUGGCUGUUAAUUAAUGUAGAAUCCGGCCGUAGGAUUUAAGUCGUAUUCUGUGGGAAGUUGUUUUUUCGGCUGCCGGUAUGUUCGGCGAAGUUUGAGCCGUAUUGAGUUAAGAAUGGCAAAUUUGGGCAAUGAUGAGUGUGUGGGAGGCUCACGUUUAAUUUUGCCCAUUUUGUUUAAAUAUUGGAUUUUUGGUGGGAAAUUAAUUAUAUAUUUGGAACAGGACGAGAGGAGGCCCGAGCAGAGGAAGCCUCGGAGCGUCAUCAGGCUUAGGCCUAAUUAGUGAGUGGACCUUUAUUUUAAUUGAAAAGCAUGCAAUGAAUUAUCUGUUGAUCAUGUAUUUCUUUUCCUGAAAUUUAUUUCUUUCUCGGAUAUUUGACAAUUUUCCUCCUUUGGAGAGAUCCCGAAAAUGAGAUUUUCGGUGGAUAUGUUUAUUGGAUGUUUAUGAUGAUAGUAUGUAUAUAUAAAUGCUAGCUAGCCAUACGUGUUUGAUCCGCCAUAAUGAGGUAAAUACCAUUAUGGUGUGACGUGAGUGUUAGACACAAGCGUAGUAGCCCUAUAUGAAACUUAUUUCUUAUUUGGUUUAUUUAGGNNNNNNNNNNNNNNNNNNNNAGCACUUAAUCCGGAAUGACAACUGCAUCAGUAUUGCACUCCCGUGACAGGAGCUAAUGCCAUUGAGGUUCAUGGCCAAAUCCUCACCUUGCAUGGAGGAACCCUGCGACCUCCCCCCCCCCCCCCCCCCGUCAACCUUCUGCAAAAACCCUUUAGAAAUCCAUGAAAGACAGAGAGGUGUCACCACCACCCCAUCAGCAUGGGACCAGGUCUCAUUUCAUAAGAAGGAAGAUACAAUAAGUUGCCAUCACAAUGAGCCGUUCAUAAUCAAAUGUCCAAGUGGACUACAGGUGCCACAGAGCCCUUGUGGACACAGGGCUGUAGUCAGUGUAAUGUUUGCAUAUUGCUACAGAGGACUCCAGCGUGACCGGGCUAAGUUGUACAAUAACCAUGAUCCUCUUGUCAGCUUCUCGGGCGAGAUUGUACAACCCUUAGGCUCAGACCGCUUGACAGUUUCAGUAAGAACCAAUCCCUGUCGUGCUUCCAUCACGGCACGCUUCCUCAUAGUCGAUUGCCCCUCGUCCUAUAACCUCAUUUUGGGUCGCGACAUCAUCUGGGGACUACAAUGCUUCAUUGCAAUCCACAUGCUACUCAUGAAAGUGCCUACCCCGGGAGGCAUACUCACAAUCCAGGGGGAUAGAGUCGCCAUAAAACAUUGUCACCUUAAUGCCGUUCAGCAAAGACGUGGGGCCAAUGAGAUGUUGCCACUCAGUCCCUCGGAACCCAUUGGUGAUCCCCGGGACGACCUUGAAGGGAAAGAAAAGAAGAAGCAAGUCCCGAGACCUAAGCUGGCAGAGGAAACAGAGUGGGUAUCCCUAUCACCUAGCACUCCCGAGAGGAAAGUCCGCAUUGGCACUAACCUCAAACCGGAAAUCCACCAAAAGCUCAUUACCUUCCUCCAGGAUAAACAAGCAGUCUUUGCUUGGUCCUAUGCCGACAUGCCAGACAUUUCCCCUGAUAUCAUCACACACAAGCUCAAAGACUAUCCCUCUGUCAACCAAAAAAGGCGUGCCUUUAAUCCAGAAAAGUAUCGGGCUAUCCAAGCCGAGGUCCAGCGGCUAAAAGAGAUUAAGUUCAUAUGUGAGGUUUCCUACCCAACAUGGGUCUCCAAUGUAGUCAUGGUCCCCAAGCCUAAUGGCAAGUGGCGAAUGUGUGUUGACUACACUAACCUCAACAAAGCAUGCCCCAUAGAUAGUUUCCCCUUACCACGGAUUGACCAGUUGGUUGAUUCCACAGCUGGCUACAAGAUGCUUAGCUUUUUGGACGCCUACUCGGGAUAUAACCAAAUCAAAAUGUACCCCACAGAUCAGGAACACACUACUUUUGUUACGAACAAGGGAUUAUAUUGUUACGGGGUCAUGCCCUUUGGCCUCAAGAACGCAGGAGCAACCUACCAACGAUUAGUCAAUGCCAUGUUUGAAGAAGAAAUUAGGGAAGUCAUGGAAGUAUAUGUGGACAACAUGCUGGUCAAAAGCAAGACGGAUGAUGACCACAUUGCCAAUUUAGACAAGGUUUUCACAAAGCUUCUAGCUCAUGGGAUGCGCCUCAACCCACAAAAGUGUAUUUUAGCUGUUGGCAGAGGAAAGCUUUUGGGUUUCAUGGUCAGUGAAAGAGGAAUUGAAGCUAACCUAGAAAAAAUACAGGCCAUACGUGAUAUGAUUGUCCCGGCCACCUGGAACAAGGUCCAGUGCCUCAUGGGACGCUUGGUUGCUCUGGCUCGAUUCAUCUCUCGCCUCACAUACAAGUGCAACCCAUUCUUUCAAUUGGUGAAAACCCAAUAUAAGGAAGAUGUCGCAUGGGGCCCGGAACAUGAUGAUGCCUUCAAUAACAUCAAAGCUUACCUUGCAGCAGUUCCUCUCUUAUAAAAGCCUGUCCCAAGAGAAGUAUUAUACUUAUAUUUGGCUGUUUCUGCUACAGCCAUUAGCGUUGCUCUCACACGCCAUGAGCAUGACAAUGAGCUCCCAGUAUAUUAUUGUGGCAGAGGUUUUGCAGAUCCCGAGACUCGCUACCCUGACAUUAAGAAGUUAGGUCUAGCCCUCAUCACUGCAGCGAGAAAACUCAGGCAAUAUUUCCAAGCUCACACCAUCCUAACCAACCACUCUUUGCGGCAAAUACUCCAAAAGCCUGAAACUUCAAGACACCUAGUGAAAUGGGCAAUUGAGCUGGGUGAAUUUGACAUACAUUUCAAGCCAAGAACAGCAAUAAAGGGACAGGCAGCUGCAGAUUUCAUUGCCGAGUUCAUUCCCCUAGAUCAUGACAGCCCAAAUACAAACGCCCCUCCCCCCCCCCGACGAUGCUAUCUGGGAACUCCAUGUUGACGGAUCCUCAAACAACAGGCUAAGUAGGGCAGGAAUAAUCAUCACAAACCCAGAGGGACAUUCAUACGAGUAUGCUCUCCGGUUUGAGUUCAAAGCAUCCAACAACAUAGCUGAAUACGAGGCCCUGAUAGCAGGCAUCCAGCUCUGUCGAGAACUCAAAGCCCUACAUAUUCACAUAUUCAGUGACUCUCAGCUUGUACUCAAUCAAGUGGCACGAGACUUCAAGGCCAACCAGAAUAACUUGGGAUCCUACAAAACUCUAACAGGACCUCCUGCAACACUUCACAUCUUAUAAACUCACACAAAUCCCCAAGACCAAGAACUCCAAGGCAGACGCCCUUGCGAGACUCGCCACAGCUCCUCCUGAGUCCACGCCACCAGAUGUGCACAUAGAAAUCUUGGACAAGUCUAGUAUCUCGAAAGCUUAUUCAUAAAUCUUUGCUCUUGAGACAACUAGCCAGCCCUCAUGGAUGUACCCAUAUGUUGACUUCCUCGCUAAUGGUACCCUGCCCUAGGACAAAAGAGAAGCACAGCGGUUACGCCACAAGGCUUCAUUUUACCUACUCAAAGGUGCAAGCUAUACCGUCGUGGUUAGUCAUGUCCAUUCUUGAAGUGUUUGCCCACAGAGGAAGGGCACAAAGUGUUGAAGUCACUUCAUAGCGGCAUUUGUGGAAACCAUGCGGGUGCUCGGAACCUCAUGUUCAUGGCACUCAGAGCUGGGUAUUAUUGGCCAACAUUAGAGCAAGAUACAAAGGCAGUUGUCAAAGCAUGCCUUCAAUGCCAAAAAUUUGGCAAUUUUGCUCAUCACCUACCAGUGCCACUGUCUGUCAUCAUCUCCCCAGUCCCUUUCAGUCAGUAGGGACUCGAUUUUGUGAGACGGCUACCCAUAGCCCUGGGACAACUCAAAUUUGCAAUAGUCGUUAUAGACUACAACACGAAAUGGAUAGAGGCAAAACCCCUUGCCACAAUGACAACAGAAAAGGUGAUAAACUUCCUAUGGCAUAAUCUAUACUGCCGGUUUGGGGUACCACAUGCCAUCAUCACGGAUAAUGGGACACAUUUUGAAAACGACACCUUCAGAGAAUUCUUGUUCGAACAAGGAACCACAAUCUUCUAUGCCUCCCCAGCACACCCUCAGACCAAUGGCCAGAUGGAAGCCAUAAACAAACUCAUUAAGCAAAACUUGAGGAAACGCCUGGAAGAUGCCAAAGGGUUGUGGGCCGCCAAGCUCCCGGAGGUCCUCUGGACACUUCGUACCACCCCAACAACAGCUACAGGUGAAUCUCCAUAUCUCUUGUCCUAUAGCACUGAGGCAAUGAUUCCUGUAGAAAUGGAAGUCCCAAGUGAACGUGUCAUGGCGUACAAUCCCGAGAAGAACGGCACAGGAUUGCGACUUAACAUGGACCACCUAGAGGAGCGCUGAGAUAGAGCACAUCUCAGGAAUUCCAACAAUAAGCAAAAGAUUGCUCAACACUACAACAAGAAAGUUGUUCCCGCCCCCUGAAGGUAGGUGAUUGGGUCAUGAAGGAAGUCAUUCCCCACCCCACUGGACUCAAGGCAAAGUGGGAAGGCCCACUGAAGAUAGUUAAUGCCCCGGGACUAGAUACAUUUUAUCUCCGAGAUACUGAUGGCCGCGUAUACCCCGCCCCUGGAAUGCUCGCCACCUCCACCUCUACCCCUUUUAAAUUAUUAGUCCCAAGACCCGGCACAGUAGCUAACACUUCAUCAUUUUGUGUUCUUCAGCCCGUUAGCGGCUCAAAUCAAAUGUACACUUUGCCUGUUAGCGGCCUACCCUAAAUGAAGAUGCUAUGUUUUCUCAUCAUUUUUCAACAUGCUGUAUCAAGAACACGGAACAAAAAAAAACACACAACCACAAACAAAAACAUUCAUUUAAGUAAACAAGAAAUACCACCAAGUAUCAGCUUGGACUCCUAGGCAAGUCAUAACCAACAAAUUGUUCAAAUGGCUAACCACGCCACCAAUAUUGUUUCACAAACAAACAAACAAAAAAAUUGAAACCUAACCGAACAAAUUACAAAGUGAAAAUAAUCAUUUCUCCCCAAAGGAUGCACCACCAGACUUAUUCACACUGCUACCACUCCUCGAGUUGCUCCCACACCCGCGACUUUGACUAAUGUUCACUGACACCCUCUAUCCAUAAGCAUGCUUAGAACGGUCACGUGACGUAGGUGGAGGCCUCACUGAAACAUUAGGACGCACCAAGGAGCUCACUUGUUGCGCUUCAGUGACAGGAGACUUGCUCGUUGGAGUCUUUGGCACUUCAGAACGCUGCGGCGCCACGAGUCCAGGUGCUCGAGGGUUAGUGGGUUCAAUAACAGAAGAUGCAACCUGCGACACUACCACUUGAGUGGAAAGGGACCCCUCGGGACACGGAGCCCUUAGUGGUGAAGCAGCAGCAGUCGCGAGAGGCCAAGGCGUGCCCACAGCAGGAACUUCCUUCGGGACAACAGGUGACGAAGCACGCCAAGCCUCAUGAUGUUUUUCCAACGACUGCGAGAUCUCGGCUUGCUUCUUCUGCUUUGGUGUCAUCUGCUCCUAAGUCUUCUUUACAGCAUCCCUAUUGGCAUACCACUUGCGCAUGGCCGCUUCGUUUAUCCAGCCAGCUUGGAAACCAGUCUUGCUCAACUCAUCCUGUCCCUGGUUAUAAGUGCUCCUCAGCUGCUGCUUAUACACUUCACUCUCCCGGAACACCCUUUCCCCAGCCCCGGCAGCCCUUGCACACUUCAACUUCCAAGCCUUCUCUUGCUCCACCAAGGCCUGCGUGAACCUCGUCACCUCGGCUUCCUGGGACACUACCUUGGCAAUGGCCACCUCCCCAGCUUCCACUUGCUUGUUCUUCUCCUACACAGCUUCCUUCAACUCAGCAACCUCCUUCCCGGAUGCAGCAGCCUGGUCUCGGAAGACAGCAACAUCUUGCUCCAGCUGCUCAAGACGUUACGAGAGGGCGCGGUUAUUCUCCUCCGCCUCCUUCAACUACUGACAUUUGGUUUCAGCAUGCUCCUACAAGUGAGUAACAGCCCUCUCACUCUCAGCAUACAUCAGCAACGUCGCCUGCAGACAACACCAAAACAUAAACAAAGCGACAGGGAACGAAAAUGAGCAAAUUGAACGCUACGAACACUUACCCGAGUUAACUUCUCCUUGGUGAGAGCCACACCAGCCAAGGGAUCAACCUCCUCCAAGGCAUGGAUGUCGCGAGAGCGGUGACGCAUGUCAUACGCCAUCUAUGCUAAGUAAGGCUGCACCUCCCUGGUCCCCUCUAAUGUUUGGGUGAUCUCAGCCAAACUCUCGGAGCUCUCGGAACGCCCUUCCUUGAGCAACCUCUUCGGUUGACCUUCACGCGACGACUCGACCCUCUCCUUCCUCUUCCGAGUCCUUAUCAUAACAACCUCCUCUGACCCCUGCACAAUGGGUUCCACCUCCUCAAUCACAAAGUCUUCAUCGCCAGUUUGGUGGCCAUCCACGUUCCCCAAAGAUGCAUCCUCCAUUCCCAUCGACUCUGAAACUAAUUCCUCCUCCCCUACAAGGACUUGAUCCUGGUUGCCAUCAUGGUCGCCAUCCUCGAUUUCAGUGUCUUCAACAUUCACCUCUUGGUCGCCUAAGCCCAUUGCUUUUGCCACCAAGGGAGGCAAAUAGGCAUAGUCCUCGUCCGCCAACUUCAACCUCAAAAAAUCGUCCUCACCCUCAUCAAACUCCGCCUCUUUCCCUUCGCCAGUCUCCAAGUCGAUAUCGUACCGCUUGGCAUGGUCAGCCUCGGCACACAGCCCAUCCAGUACAUCCUCGUCCGAGACCCUACCAUAGGGACCUUCCUUCUUCCGUGACCCACCAUCUCGAGGCAUCGUCACUACACUAGACAAAAAAUAAGGGUCAAGCACAGAAGAAAGCACAAAAUAGGAAAACAGUCAAAAACAAAAAUACAGAGCCGGGACCUGGGCGUAACCGAGCUGACUAUAUAUGCCAAGGCGGCAUAUUCGGUACGAGCUCCUAGACUCAAAUGCCCAUAGCACCCGGCGUAUACGACGCUCCAUCAGCUCGUUUAGCUUAUACUCUUGGGGCACUACACAAAAUCAGAAGUCAACAAGGGUAGUACAGUACAAGUAGUAAGAAAACAUGAGACACAAAACACGGUACCUAUUUUUUGGAAGGCCCUGUGAACUCGGAAAGGAUGCCUAUGCCAUUCUUGCCACUGCCCCCCGACGAGGAAACACUUCUGUCGCCAACUCUCGUUAGUGGAGGUAGGCAAGUCUUCCACCAAAAUCUUGAACUUCCCUCGGGACUUCAAGGUCACACAACCUCGUCUACCCUUCUUAGCGCAAUACGCCAUGUGCCAACAGGCGUUAAACUCCUCAAAGCAGGGGAACUCUUGCCCCAGUAAAUGAAAUAGCACCCUUGUCCCCAGUAUCUGCCUUAACAUGAUCGGGGUGACCUGCCCCGGGGCAACACGCAGACAUGCCAAAGUGAACUGCACAAAAGGGGGUAGCGGGAACAACAACGCGCAUCUUAACUGAUACUCGUACACCAAGGUAAAGUUUUCCGAGGGAUCCCAAAAAAAUUAAUGCCCUUGGAAAGAGGCGGUAACAAGACCUCACUCCAAUUCUGCCUAAGUGCUUUAAGCUCUGAUGAUGUCAUACUCUCGCCAGGGGGAUCCCAGAUCGAGUCAUCAGCCUCCUGAGAUCUCGCCAUACUAAACUCUUCUAUCUUCUGCAAGAGAGGGUCAGACGAGAACACGUGAGACCUAGCAUCCGUAACAAGAAUGCCCUCUCAUAAAUCAAGUGCAAUCUCCGCCAUAAGAUAAUCCAAAUCCUCCUCCCACCGGUGCAAAGUGUCCGAAUUAGGAUCAGGCGAGCUAGAGACAACCACAAUCUCCUCGCUGGACACCCACACCGGAUCUGUCAUACCCUACAUCCUCACAGGUUAGACUCUCGCUACCUUAACCCUAACUGGCCCGAUAGUAACCACCCAAUCCCUCAACCCAGAAUCAACCAUCAACAAAACCGCAAACAAUGCGAAAACCACAACAAAACCCCCCUACCGAUUCGAAACAAAACAAAAGCAGAGCUUAGAAUAGGAAUUGACAACUUCAUACCUCCUUGAAAACGUGGAUAUGCGUAGUGGCAGUGAAGCUAGUUGCAUACAGCCGAGCGCUCACACCCAACUAAUUGAGGAUGAAAUUGAACGUUCCCCAGAUCGAUUUAACAAGCUCUUCCAAAACGCCUCUCCAAUUAACCACUUGAAAACCGCUCCUUAGCCCUAAUCCCUCUGUUUUCGAAAUGCAAACUCCCUCCUUCUAUUUCUUCCAAACCUAUUUAUAGACAUCCAAAUUAACCACGACCGUCCAGAUCUUCCCCAUCUCAAUGGUCAGGGAACAGCCAUGUCGACCACGAUCAUAUGAGGCAUUAAGACACGCCUCACGAUCCCACGCAUGCGCGAAUUGCGCAAAAAAAAAAACGCCCAAUCAACGAAACCGUUACGACCUUAAACCUCGACAUAAAUGAUCACGUGUGCCUCAUAAACUGGGUCAUUUAUGACACGCAUGAGAUAUGGCGAACAGGCUCAUAUCGAGUUCUCGGAACUCAACCCUAGCCACCUCGCGACCCUCGCGUGGGGGACUUGGGGACUCGGCACCAAGCCACCUAUUCCCGGGUAAGACACAUUCUCGGCACAACUUGAGAAUAACCCUCCCCACCCAAGAGCUCUCUCAGACUGGGGACUUGGGGACUUGUUAAUACAUAGCCAAGUGUCUUGGCUGUGCCGAGAAUAUGGCAUAAUCACCUGGUCACCGGAAGCCAUUCCAGGCAAGGCAACACCGGCAAUGCCCUCACAGGCACUCAAAGAACGAAGGUCCGGCAACAAUGCACUUGCUGGAACCACUUCACAACUGCUAUACAACCUCGAAAGGGGAGAGACUCAACAACACUGAAAACAGUCCCACAUUGAAAGUUAACAACAGAACCCCCAAUACUAGCUUAUAAAACAGGCACGAAUUCCCAAAAGAGGUAAGUUCAUUAUUCCUCCCAUACUCCCAUACUCUCAUACUAUACAAGUAGCAACUAGAUGCUGACUUAAGCAUUGGAGAGUCGAAGACUGGGCCACCCCAGUCCCGACUCCUAACGCUGUGUUACUUGUGCAGCUACAGGAACUGGAGCCAAGAAUUCGACCUCACCAUCCUGAGAUCCCGGGAAGAGGUAGAAACAGUCAUAUAACUUAGAGAGCUGGACAAGGUGCUUGAGCGAGAAGAAGUUAUGUGGUGUCAACACUCUCAGGUGAAUUUGUUAAAGUGUAGCGACCGAAAUACAAAAUAUUUCCACAAUUUUGCGAAGCAAAGGGGAGCUAUGAAUAAGAUUGUUGGUGUCUUGGGGGAAGACAAUAGAUGGAGAACUGGUUAUGUUAAUGUUGGAUGUGUCUUUGUGGACUAUUUCAGGCAACUUUUUACUACAGGAGGGUCUGAUAUGAGUCAUGGGAUUUUUGGGGAGGUUGCUGGUAGAGUAAAGGGACUAGGAUGGGCGUUUUCUGGGUAUCAGGAGCUUUCAAUCCUCGUCGUACUAGACAGAAACAGAAAAUAAAGAACACAGCAGUUUGAUUACCCAAUGAAACAACAAGUUAAGGAAAAACACUGCUGGGGCUUUAACUCUUGAAAACCCCUAUUGAAAAGAAAAUUCACUAUGAAAAGAACGAGUCAAUUACAAACUUUGUAGCACUGACCGCAGCUACUAUCUCUAGAACCCUAGCAAAUAUGUUUGAAGCACUCUUCUUCUUCAAGUAAUCUCUUCAAGUAAUCUUCUUCUUCUUCAAUCUCCAAGAAAUUAACCACGUCCUUGAUCCUUCAAUCACAUAAACAAGUUCAACUCAAUAUGAACAAUUGAACUUGUGACCUUACAAAGUAUUGCAGCGGAAAAACCAUCUCUCAAAAGCUAUGCGUGCAAAGAUAGUUCUCUAAGAAUAAUUGUGCAAAAUGUGUUCUUCCAAUAGCGCUUGCGUCUUCUUUUAUAGAUACACACAAUAUUCUUGCAUCAACAGCCCUAAUCAAUAUCCAAGAAAGGAAUUCUAAUUAGAGUCAAAUCAUGAGAAUAAAUCAUAGGAUAUUAUUGAAGCAACAUAAAAGAAUAUCCUAAACCAUGUAGGAUUUCUUUCCUUACGCAAACCUGUGUCAAAAGUGUGGAUAUCAAAUCAGUCUUGUUAACACAAACUUUGCUUUGUUUUAUUCCACAGCAAUCAUGUAAUGAGAUCCUAACCAAAUUAGGACUCAAUCACUCACGGAAAUCAUCUCCAAUAUAACUCGUUCAAAACAUAUAUAUUCACUUAACAAAUCAAUCAUGUAUGAAACCAUAUAUAAAUAAGUUCUAAUCAAAUUAGAACUUCAUUGCUCGCACAUCUUCUGUAACACCCCGGACCAAAUUUUACCUAUUUACUGGGUAUUCUACGAGUUACUGAGGAAUUUUAAUAGUGCUCGGCAAUCUAAUAAAUUAACGCUUGAGUUUAUUUUCGAAUUUUACUCAAAAUGUCAAGUUCUUCUUUUAAGGCCCCGAUAUCGAAGUGCAAGUUGGCACAAGUUCCCCAGUGUCUUCGGAUUAUUUUUGGGAGCUUCGAAUUAUUUUCUAUGAUUUAUUGAAGGUUGGUUAAAGAAAGUAAUUUUCCUAAAUCAAGUUACAACAUUUAUUCUGGGCCUUAGGAUAUAGGGUUUAAUUUUUUUGCUGUUGAAUGGGUACUAGAGGAAAGGAAGGGGCUAGUUUCAGUCAAAAGCCCUUACGGGCGUUGACCCGCUCUUCUCUCUCUCUCUCCUCUCGACAUCGCCUCUGUCACCAGCAUCCUCCGACGCUGCCGUCUCCGGCCACCCCUGCUAGUGCAACCACCCCUAAUUUCUUUCUCUUCUCAUUCUCUAUCAAACCCCCAAGGCAAAUCAUUCAAGCAAACCCGAUCGGAGGAGAUUGAAGUUAAUGAACACGGGUGUGUUCGUCGGAUUCCGGCAAGCUCAGGCGACGAGACGACUACCUACGGGUAGGGUUUUGUUCCUCUUCUUUUCUUCUUCAAUUCCAUGUCUUUCAUUCUUUGAAUUGAGCCCAAAUUCUAAAAUCCCUCUUUUCUGUGUUUUCCUAGUUUCGGGUUCCUAGCUCCAAUGAUCGGCGAUCUAUGGUUCCGGCGAGUGCUUCAGGUUUUGGUGAGUUCCUAAAGCCUUAUUGUCACAUCCUGGUUCUUAUGUCAAUUUGCGGUUAUUUACUUUUGGGUUACUUUGACUUUUUACCGUUUUAAGUAACCGUUUACUAUUUAAUACUCCAAAAGUUGACUUUUUCUUCCGUUUGGAAUUUGGGAAAACUUUCUUCAUGAAAGUUGUAGAGGACGUUAAACAAAGUUUGUGGACAUGCGACACGCUUAAAACGAAGUUCGUAUGGAGAAGUUAUGGUCUAAACACGAAAGUUACUAUUUUGGUAAAAGGAGGUAAAUUUUAGUAGGCUUUAUUUUUGUUGGGGUAUUAGUUGGACCGGGUGUGGAGCAGCCCAACACCCCCCUCCCCCCACCUCUCUCUCUCUCUCUUUCCCUCUUCCUUCUCUCUUUCUCCCGAGCUCUCCCCGAGCCCUUCUCCUGCCGGAAGUUCCCAGCGCCACCUGCCGCCGUCCGGCCAGCAACCGGCCGCUGCUCUAGCCCAGUUAGAACCCCCGCCGUCUCCUCUCCCUUCCUGGGCCGGUGACUGGGCCUGUGUCGCCGUCGAUUGAAGGAAAACUCCCCGGAGACGCCAACUGCCCCUUCGCCGGAGUUUUCUCCUCCGGCCACCAUAGGUCGGGAUUUUUGGCUCGUCUUGUAGCCCUCGUCAAGGUGAGUAAUCCCACAAAAGAAAUUGGUCUAAUUCGAUCUUGUUAAUGAGAAAUGUAUAAUUGAAGUUCUAGGGCUCAAUUUAAGGUUUUGGUUCGGUUAACCUAGUUAGGCUUAGAAAUGGAUUUUGUGCUAGUUAAGGAAGUUGUUGUGCGGGUUGAGAGGAUUGUUGUGUUGAAAUUUGGGAGGCAUUGGAGGUCGCCGGAGUUCGGCUGCCGAUAGCCGCUGCCUGCGGAGCAGGCGGCAGCUCCGCCCCUUAAGGGCGGUUUUUCCUGUUUUUGAGAUGGUUUUAAUAAGAGGAGUUUAUUGAAGUAUAGUUUGGAAUUUUUGGAUGAGUUUUGGUUAGGUUUGGAAUUUUUCGGAGAUUGGAGAAAUUGGCGGUUAUGGUCCUAGUGCUAGAAUUGAUGAAGUGAAGUUGUAGAUGAAGUUUGGUAAAAAUCUAAUUAGCUUAUUAGUGGGUUAAUUGGGAGGAUUUCGAUGAUUAAGUUUAAAACAUUUAAUUUCCUAAAUCAAAGAGUGGUUCUAAGCAUAUUUAUUGUGCCAGGAUAUGAAGGGAACCUCACUUGAGUGGCGAUGCGGUUAUCGUUGGGCGUAUGCCUAAAUUUGUGAGUGGACAUUUUGGUUUUAAAUAAAUAAGCAUGAAAGAUUUUAUAAUUUAUUAUUUUAUUUUUCAAGCUUAUAUUAUUACUUCGGCUUAUGAAAUGAUCUUGGAAAUUAUUUGAGUUGGAUGCAUGGAUUUAAUUGUUGGUCAAGAUUUAUGGAUUUGAGCUCGAAUUAUUAAUUUGAUAUUUGAGUUUGGAUAUUUUUAUAAAUUCCAGAUUUCUUUAAAAUGGUUUUAAUGGUGGACUUUGAGAUUUAUAAAAGAUUUCCGAAAAUGGGAUUUUCGGUGGUUUGCUAUUUAUAAUCUUUGAAAUUAUUGGUGGAAUAUCAAUCUUGACCUUGAGAAUGUUUUAGCGAGUAUUUUGGAUUGAGAUAUUAAUUAUGAUUUUUAUUUGUUAAUUAAAUCUCGCUUAUAUUAUGGUUUUGAGAAUAUUUUGACGUAUGAGACACGUCAUUAAGUUUUUAUAAUUUCUUAUGAUGAUUUUCAAGUAUGGUUGGGAACCGUACCAUUCGUAUGAUCUUGGGGAAGAUUAAUGGAUUUCAGUGUUUUUGUAUGGUUUACUCACCAUAAUAUAGGGUCGCUUAUAUUGAUUACUGCUAGCUAACCAUUAUUAGUGGCUACUCACCAUAGGUGAGUAGAGCGCGCUCAGCGUGGGACGCUAUUAUAGCCUGGGAGGCAACCGAUUGGUAUUUAUACUUAUUUGUUAGCUAGCCAUUAUUAGCGGCUACUCACUAUAGGUGAGUAGAGCGUUUAGCAUGAGACGCUAUUAUAGCCUGGGAGGCACCGACCAGAGCUUGGGAGGCUCCUUUUUCAUGGUGAUAACUCUUCCCCUUAUUUUAUUCUUCUUAGAUACGUAUUUGAUCAACUAGCGGGGCUGGUUUAUCUUUUAUUACGAGAUUUCUAUAUUUAAUUAACCAGCGGGGCUAGUUUGUCUAUUUUUAUGGUAUUCUGGAUUUAAAGUUAUUUGGAUUAUCAAGUUGCAUACUGUUAGGUUUUAAAAGUUGAAAUGCGGGAAAGUAUAUAAGUUUAUAUUAGUUAAGUUAUUUAAUUUAUUUUUGUCCACUCACUCUAACGUUUUUAAAUUACUUUCUCCUGGGCCCUUUGGUUUUAAAUGCCCAGUGUGUAGGCUAGGUUUAAAUGAGGUCGAGCGUACAUGGAGUCGAGGCACAGUCAGAGGCUGCUUCCGCUUAAUCUUUAUUCAUUGUUAUUCUUUCAUUAUUAGAUAUGCUCUGAUCACCAAUUAGUGAAUUAAUUUUGUUUAUUGUUGGUUGUGGGAUUAUUUUAGUUGUGUAAUUGAUAUAUUGGGAGGUGUGAUGAACUUGGGGAGCAGGAAGGCUCCAGGUGUUGAAGAUGGAUGUUUGGUUAUAGAAGUGUUAAGUUGGAUUUUUCAUGUAAGGGUUGUCUAUUUUUAAGGAACGUUAUGCUGAAUUUUCGGUGAAUUUUCCUUAAAGGUGGACCCCGCAGGAUUUACCUCGUGUUUCAGGGUGAAAUUCGAGGUGGGUCCUGAGACUUAUGGGGAGUCCAGUUGGACCUUGGUGUGACUUGUGGAGCUGAAAUCUUCAAACUGGAUCAAGGCAGAGGCUUACGAGUUUGGCUAGGCAGUUGGUGGCGCGGUUCGUCAGCAGUAGAAUGACUAGGGCCGAGUCUCAGCAAGGUGGAGCUACUGGAUGAGGUUUUGGGAGAGGUUGGAUUGUCAGGCUAUCUACGAUCAAGAUUAAGACUAGUAAGGUUUUUACAGGAGUUAUGUUGAUAGAGAAUGAGUCACUAGACUGGUUGUUAAUUCGUUAGUGCCCUUACUGGUGCUAACUGAAUGCUGGUAUUAGAAUGCAGUAAUGCUGGACCAACUCCCAGUCUGAAGAAGUAAAAUGGUAAGUGUCUGAUGGGUUGUUCACUAACUUUUGUUGUUGUCUUAUGGAAUUUUGGCUGUGUGAUUUUGGAGUUGGAUGGUUGAUCUAUAGUGUUUUGGUUGAUGCAUGUUGAUAACUUGGAGUUUGAAGUAUUCGGGGAAGCUAUGGCAAAAUUCAAGCAAGUAUUUCUGGCAGGUCGCCGGAAUCCCGGUAGGAAUUCAGACGAGGCAACAGUUCCGGCAGAAUUCGUGAAGGUAGGUUGUCGACUUUCCAUUUUCGUUUGAGUUGUAGUUUUCGGUUUAGGAAAAUCUGCCAUAUUUAGAAAGUUUCUAUUUUUGGAAACUUUCCAUUAUUGGAAACCCUUUUGGGUGCCCUUAGUAAAUUUUGGUGGGAAGUUGUGUAGAGAGGAAAUGAUGGAAUUGUUGGUGUUGUUAUGUUGGCAUGCAUGAACGUAAGGGAGUUGAAAUUGAGAAUGGUGAAGCUUAUAUUAGUUGUCUAUGAUGAGCCGAGUCGUAAACGGAACUUAAGGUUCUAUGUCCUUAAAAUUUUAAGUAUUAAAGUCAUAUCGAGAAUGAAAUGAUUAUUCUUUGGUUAUGAUUGAAAAAUCAAGUAAAGAGGUGAACUUUGGGGAUAUGAGUUAAAUUGAAAGUGUUUGUAUAAUCACCAUAUCCCAAAUGAGUUAUAAUUGCGAAGUUAGUCGAAAAUGAUUAUUAAUAUAUGUUGGUCAAUUGUUGGUCAAUCCUGGUCAACCCAAGAAACCUAGUCAAAUUAGGAAGAAGUCGAAUCAAUGAUUAUUUUGGGGUCCGGUCUGACCAAUUUAUUCUUCUGUUUAUCGUCAGACGUGGGAUUGGCUAGAGAGUGUGAAUAGUUGGAGGCAGCGCUCGAGGAGUAUUCCGAGCAUUGGAAGGCUUAGGCCUAAUACUGUGAGUGGACUUUUGUUUUAAUUAAAAGCAUGUGAUGCAUUAUUUUGUUGAUCAGUUAUUAUUCUGCUAGAAUUUAUUACUUUUCCUAAUAAUUGGCAAUUUUCUUUAUUUUGGUGAGUUACCGAAAAUGACAUUUUCGGUGGAUUUAUGUAUAUGGAUAUUAUGAGGAUAGUAUGUAUAAUAAAUGCUAGCUAGCCACAUGUGCUUUUCCGUCAUAAUGAGGUAAAAUUCCAUUAUGGCCCGACGUGAACGUUAGACGCAAUCGUCGUAGCCCCAUAUGAAUAUAAUAAUUCAUAUAAGGAAUAUGCACGUAUAUAUGUACACUGUCUUUUCCGCAUAAUGAGGUAAAAUUUCAUUAUGGCGCAACGUGAGCGUUAGACGCAACCGUCGUAGACUUGUAUGAAUUUCUAUUUUUCCUUAUUUUAUUUCAUAGAAUUCAUACAAGGAAUAUGACGAGUGUAAAUACAUACAUAUAUAUUUAUAUUUUAGCCUGAGAGGCUCUAUUUUAUAAAGUUUUGGAGACUAGCCGGAGCUAGUCAUGUAUUUGCCAGUUUAUGAGUUAAGAGCUUUUAAGCUGUCGCAUGCAGCAUAUUUUCUAUGGAAAUUAAAUUGGGAAUGCAUAAAGAAUUAUUUCUUUUAAAUUUAUUUUUGUCCACUCACUAACGUUUUUCAAUUGCUUCUCCCCUGGGCCUUUCGUUUUAAAAAUGCCUAGUUUGCAGGUUAGUUUAGUCGAGGUCGGGUAUACUUGGAGUCGAGGCAUAGUUCGUAAUAUAACUUCCGUUUUUUUUUUUGUUAUUCUGUUUCUUUUAUUCCUUUUAGAGUUGCUUUGAACCAAUGAAUUAUUUGAUGUGGGUUUAUAUUUAGAUUUGUGAAUAAAUUGUGAGAUGUCGUGAAUUUGGGGAGCACGAAGGCUCCAGGAGUUUAAGAUUUGAUUUGGAUUUUUCAGAAGUGCUUGCAGGUACGAUAGGAAAGGGUUGUCUAUUUUCAAGAGAGGUUAUAUCGAAUUUUCGGUAGAAUCUGUUUUGGAGGUGGUCCCCGUAGGGUUUACUUUGAAUUUCAGGGUGAAAUUCGGGGUGGGUCCUGACAUCUUCUAUUUUGUAUUGAGAUGCCAAUAAAUCAUAUACCAAUAUAGAGUUACGGUGGAGCAGGGAGUGACACUUAACAAACCUUUUUCUAGAGGAGAAAUUGAAGCUGCGCUAAAGGAUAUGGGACCAACAAAAUCUCCAGGGCCAGACGGAAUGCUGCCUCUUUUCUAUCAAAAGUAUUGGUAUGUGGUAGGGGAUGCGGUGGUCAGUAGGUAUUUGGAGUUCAUCAAUGGGAAUGGCACGGUUAAGGAUCUAAACACACCUUAAUUGCUCUGAUUCCUAAAAUUCCGGCUCCAAAAAAGGUGACUGAGUUUCGACCUAUUAGCUUGUGUAAUGUCAUCUAUAAGUUGAUUUCGAAGGCUUUGGCUAACAGAUUGAAGGUGAUUUCACCGAAUGUGAUUGCGGACUACCAAAGCGUGUUUGUGCCAGGGCGUCUGAUUCAUGACAAUGUUAUUGCUGCGUUUGAAACAAUGUAUAAUUUAAAGAGAGGGGAAGAAAAGUAGGCAGAAAACAACGAUCAAAUUAGAUAUGGCCAAAGCUUGUGAUAGAGUCGAAUGGGAGUUUUUGAAAGGGAUGAUGCUUGCUAUGGGUUUUCCUUCGCGGUUUAUUUGGCUGAUAAUGGAGUGUGUGCAGUCGGUCUCCUAUUUUGUGCUCAUCCAAGGCAGACCUUUUGGUAGAAUUACUCCAUCUAGAGGAAGUCGCCAAGGAGAUCCUAUUUCCCCAUAUCUUUUUCUUCUAGUUGCAGAGGGUUUUCUGCCUUAUUGAAAAGAGCGAAAAGAAAAAAAAAUUUACAUGGAGUUUCUAUCGCCCGGGGUGCACCAUCGGUAACACACCUGUUUUUUGUUGAUGAUAGCUUGCUGUUUUGUGAUGCUUCAGUUCAGGAUUGCCUCAAAUUGAAGGAGAUUUUUGCGGUGUAUGAGAAGGCAUGAGGGCAAAAAAUCUGCUGUUAGUUUCAGUCCAAGAACGACGAUGGUAGUGAAGGAAUCUUGUAGUACAACGUUGGAUAUGAAAAUUGUUCCAUGCCAUGAACGUUAUCUGGGAUUGCCUCUAGUGACUGGAAGAAAUAAAAAGAAGGUUUUUAAGGAUGUGGCAGACCGGGUGUGGCAGAAAAUACAAGGUUGGGAAGGUAAACUUCUUUCCAAGGGUGGUAAGGAGGUGCUUAUCAAAGCUAUGGCUCAGUCCAUACCUACGUACACCAUGAGUGUUUUCCAGUUACCGGUGGGGAUUUGCAAUGAAAUGAACAGACAUUUAGCAAGAUAUUGGUGGAAAAGGUAUACAUUGGAGGAAGUGGGAUGCACUUUGUGUGUCGAAAGGGGAAGGUGGAUUGGGUUUUAGGGAGUUUCAGUGCUUUAAUCAAGCAUUGAUAAGGAAAAUUGGUUGGAGGCUGAUUCAAGAUGAGGAGUCUUUGGUUGGUCGAAUGUUGAAGGCUAAAUACUACCCGAAUAGUUCUUUUAUGGAGGCUGAAAUUGGGAGGAAUCCUUCCAGUAUAUGGAGGGUUGUGAUGUGGGGUAAACAACUUCUAACCAAAGGACUUCGGUGGAGGAUAAGCAAUGGGACUGAUAUCCAGGUCUUUCAAGACCCUUGGGUGCCUGGAAUACCUGAAUUUAAAAUUGCAUGGAAGAAUGGCUGUGAUUGGAAUAUGAGAGUGAAUGAGCUGAUUUCAGUGUCUGGUUUGUGGGAUAUGUAUAAGCUAGAGCAAGUAGCUACAACGCAAGAAGUGGAGGUUGUGCUUAGCAUCCCUAUUGUACAAUCAACCAAAGAAGAAAAAAAAAGAAAGUCAUAUAACAUAGAUGACAUUAGCCACAGUGACACAUCCGCGUCAAAAACAAACGAACUUGUAUUUGAUGCAGAUUAACAAAGAUGUAAUGUCAUAUCGGGUAUGAGAUGUGAUUUUGCAUUAGGAUAAGUUGAUAACAACAAGGUAGAGAUUGAAUCAUGGGGUAGUCGCAAUCUUUGAAUGAAUUGCAACCUCCAUUCUAGCCCCUCCAUUAAAGAUGUUGUUGCAUUUAUGAACCACCACACUUCAUUGCUUACAAAGUUAGAUUGUCGGCACAACCUUUUAAAAAGAUCUAUUUACAAUUCAGCUUCUAUGUACUCUGUAAUUUUAGUUUUACGAGUUACAUGCUACAUAAUUUAUUUUUGAUACAAUAAAAAGAAAUUUAGGUUAGAAGUGAGAUAGUAAGACACCUCGGUUAUGUUAGCAAGUUAGUAACACAUCAUUUAUAGUUGAUUAUUUAUUUUUUUUCUUUUGAGUUAUAUCGACAGAAGUUCAUAGUUGAUUUUAGAGGAAAAUUCAGUAGGGGUACCUAAACUAUGUUGCCAAGGCCAAGAUGGUACCCAAACUCUAAAAUGUAUCAAUGUUAUACCUAAAGUCUUAUUUUAACAUCAACAAGGGGUCUCCGGUUAGUUUUAAGAAUAUUUCAUUAGCCUAAAAAUCUUUUCUUUUGUGCUAUUUUUAGUUUAGUAAAUCAAAAAAUUGACGGAGCAUGGUGAGCCUAAGAAAUUGAAUUUGUUUAUUUAGCACACUGCAAAUAUAUAAAUUUAUCCUCUUUACUCAAAGGUAAACAGUUAAUUUUUCAUCAUUGGAGAAUCUAUUGAUACUAGAUUAGAUUAUUUAUCAGAAGUUAGACAGUCUUAUAAAGAAUUGCAAGAAGAAAGAGAAAAAUUAAGAAAACUAAAAGAAUUUCGAGCUAAGCUUCAUAGAAGUACUAAAAAUUAUUGGGAUAUUAUCUAUCUGAUCCAUAAAAGGAUCUAUCAAGUAGAAGAAGAGGUAAAAAUUCUCAAAGAAACUUUUGAAGAAGAUCAAAAGCCUCUUGAUUAUUUGAGCAUCGGUUAGAUCCGUCUUAGAUGGUAUCAGAGCCUGCUUUGCUCAAAGGCAGGUAAGAAAAAGGUUUAUUCCACAGAGUUGGCUUCUCUUGACAAACAAAAGAGAAUCCAAACUUAAAAAUUAUCAGUCCUAUUGUACUACAAAAAUAACUGAUAAAUGAGAAUUGUGCUUUCAUACAAGGCAUAUUCAAGAAAAUCAAUACUCCAUUGAAUACGUUUAUAGAGUAUUAAAUACUCUCUACGACGAACAUAUUCAUCUCCAAAAAGAAAUUAGAGUAGAAGAGCUUGAUCCAUCAAGACCAAGCUUAAUCGAGUUCCUAGAUCAUUUAUCUAGGGAUAAAACCUCUGAAAAGGUUACAGAACAACUCGAGAGAUUUAAUCUACGGAUUAAUCAACUUGAGGAAAUAAAUUCAAAAAUUGCUAGGCUUGAAAUCAAGCUAGAUUAUCUAAAAGAGAAGCCAUAUCUAAUAGAUAUUGAAAGAAAAUUAGUUUGCAUUGAGAAUCUUGCAAACAAUAUUCAUUAGCAAGCAGCGGAACUAAGAAAUAUUCAAGAAAACUUGAAAAAGCUUUUAGAAACUCUUAUCUCAAGGAUAGGAUGAAUCAAAGAGUAGAUCUAAAAGUAAAACAGGAAGAUGUUAAAGCUAUCAGCUUUCAUCGACCUACAAAGAAACUUGCUAAAAAUAUGGAAGCAAUAAUUCAUCAGCAGAAUUAUAAUAUCGCUUAUCUCCAAGAGAUAGGUACUGACCUCGAAAUUCAAUUUCGAGAGUUACAUAACAAGAUCUCAAAUCUACAAAAGAUUGUAGAAAAAAUGAAAGAAGGAGAAAGUUAUGAGAAGAUCGAUGAAGAGUCGCUAGCACAAAAUGUAGCUAGUAAAAUCAUCAUACAUUCUCCACCCCCACCAAUGGGAGAAAGUAGAGUAAGAUUUAUUGAACCAAAACUACUUGAAUGGAAAUCAUCGAAAACAUCAAAGUCUACAACAAAGAGAGAUGUGAAGAUGUUGAGCAGAAUCCUCAGUAAAAGGAACACAGUUCCGGUACAGUUAAUAAACGCUCAAGAAUUUGAGUAUAAUGAAAUUGAAUCUAGUGUGCGAGAAACAUCUGCUCCUAGAUUUAAAUUCAAUGGGAUCUAUAAGAAAUGAUCUUUCAUUAUGGAUUCUCACAUAUUCAAGAUACUAGAAUUAACUAUUUCAGCCACAGAUGGUGAAACAGACAUUAGAUUAAUAACUCCAAAGGAAGUAAGUGAAGCGUUCCAAAAAAAAUAUUCCUAUAUGCAUAUUGGAGCAGUCCAAGUAGGAAUAAAACUUUUAGCUAGAGAUGGAAUUGACUGUUAUGUUCUAUGUGUCUUACAAGACGAUAGAAUAACAGAUUUUAAGAAAAGUCUGUUAGGAACAGUGGAAGCUUCCUUGUGCAACCAAGUUGCAUAUUUCAAUGUGUUUCCAAACUUCACAACGCAUCUCAAGGAUGCCGCUCACUGUCUAAGACUGAGAAUUAAGACAGAUGGGAUUUCUAUGAAGAAAGGAAUGAUGGAACUUGCAAUAGAUUAUCGAAUAUAUUAUAAGUUGAUGAGCUCAAAUGUAACUCCCAAUACCAGGUUUCCAAAUAGCCUUGGGAUUACUACAUCUGUUCUCACCAACCCAAAAAAUAAUUCUCAACAAAAACAUGUCACAAAAUGGCAUGAAGUAACAUUCCCAAAAGAAUGGAAUUUAACCCCUCCUGUCAACCAACUUGAAAGUACCAAUGCUUCAAUUUAUGAAGACAUGGGAGAAAAAAUAAGCUUACAGUUUCAUAGGCAUUCAUUUGCUAAUUAUGAAGAAGCUAGUUCCUCUGGAACUAAAUCAAUUUUUCAUGAAGAAUCUUUUGAGGAAGAAAAUACUAAAAGACCUAUGAAAAUGCUUAGAGCAAGAGAACUAAAAGAGUUAUAUGCACAAGCUGAGACUUGUGAAUCCAUAGAAGAAUUGGAGAAAAUCGUGAAUAAAAUUUCUCAAAUUCGAAAGAAUAAGAGGAAGAUUUUCCUUAUCAAGCCAAAAGAAGAGUCAAAUAUAUCAUCCUCCAUGGAUACAGGAGAAGGUGAAAGACAGGCUCCUCCAGAAGGUGGUCAUACCAUAGUGCAGAAUAUUACAAACAAUCCAACCAAGAUCAUUCGAGAAAAGAAUAUCAAGCUUCCAAAAGGACAAGCUCCUACAAGAAAGAAUGGCGAGCGAAGUUCUCAGAAGUAUAUCCCUAUAGAACCCAAAUGAGGACAGUCAGUGUCCGAAAAAGGGGUUUAUCUGGAUUUAGAUUAGGUACGAGAUAAAAGAAAGACAAUAGAUAACUGGGUUGCUAGUUUAAAGUUAACUCAGGCUCUACUGUUAUCAAAGUAUGCCUACGAGGAUGCUCAUGCAUAUUAUGAGUCAACCUUAAUUGGAAUAGUCCAGAAAUGGUAUCAGUCCUUUAAGAGAAGUUCUAAAUUGGCUGAUUAGGCAGUCGAAUUAGCUCAGACUAAUAGUCCUUUAGAUUUUGCAGUGCCUAUCUAUGCACAAUUUUGUGGAGAUAUCACUAGGCAUAGCAAGCAAUCUAAAUAACGAGCUAAGGCAAAUAUUCAUAAAUUGAGUAUUUGUAACAUGAGGUAUUUUGAAAAAUACACAAAAUGAAUUCCAAAACUACUACUGCACUAUUGGAGACAUUGAGAAUGAUGAUCUCAUCAGAACAUACUAUAGAAAGUUGCUAGAACCCUGGAAUGACGUAGUGGCACAGUCCUUGGAAGAAAACCCCCUUCAGUAUUUUACUGUAAGAGGAAUACUAGAAAGAGUUAGUGAUCUCUUAAGAAAACAAUGCAUAAAGAACAGAAAAUCCAAAACUGCCAAGAAGCAACUCAGGGGAGUUAAAAAAUAUGUGUCCAAAAAUACUGGAUACUCUAACACAAUAGGGAUGUCAUAUUCCUAAAGAAAGAAAAUACAGAAAGAAGUUCUCUGGCAGCAAGCAUGGUAGAAAAUUUGCUUCAAAAAAGAAGUAUAAGUUCAGAAAGAGUUCUGAAUAUAAGAAAGAAAAAACUUUUUUAGGAAGAAAAAGAAGGCAAAUUCUUCCUCCAGAGAAGUUAAGAAAUGCAGAUGUUAGCUUUGCAAGGCAGAUAGACAUUAUGCAAAUGAGUGUCCUAAAAAGGACAAAAGAUCUUCUAAAGUCUUGAUUACUGAAUAUGAUGAAGCAAUAGAAUACGCUAAUCUAAAAGGCUUUGAAGUCGCUUAUUCUGAUGAAGAGAAUGAGUCAAUAUAUUCUCUUGAGUACCCAUCAGAAAGCGAGAUAGAAAGUGCUUCAGAAAGUUCUGAAGAAGAAGAAGAAGAAGAUAUGGGAUAUCGUCCUAUAAUUUUAUUACAGAUACAAAAUUGGAAAGAAGAAACCUUUGAUAUUAUCAGUACUUUCCAUCCCAAUCCGGGAAAGUUUACAUGUGACUAUUGCAAAUGCGAUAAUAAUAAUACAAUUCCCAUGUACUGUGAAAGUACAGAAGAAACUUACCAUCAAAAAUGCUUUAUUGCAGAACUAAGAAGAAAAACCAAGGAUAAUGAUGCUCAUAUCCUGGUAGAAGAGGAAUAUAUUAAAAAAACAAGAGAAGAACCUUGAAGAGGAUAUAAAAAUGAUGAAGUUUGUAACUUCAUUAAGCCAGAACAAGGAAAUAAAAGAGGCUCUUGAUUCUCUUAAUUCCAUACAUGUUGUGACAAGUGUCAAUCCAAUAACUGCUAUGACAAGUGUCAAUCUAAUAACUGCUGUGACAAGUGUGAAUCCUCUUGAGUCUAUAACUACUGUGAGACAUGUCAAUCCUUUCAUAGAAUUACUUGAUGCUCCAAGAAAGCAAGAGUGAGUAAUGUGACAAGUGUCAAUCCUCUUGAGUCUAUAACUACUGUGAGACAUGUCAAUCCUUUCAUAGAAUUACUUGAUGCUCCAAGAAAGCAAGAGCGAGUAAUGCCAGUCCAGACAAGCAUAUAUAGCAAUUAUAUCACCAUAGGACUGAACUUUCCCAAUUAUAAGAAGUAUCAUCUACAUGCAUUUGUAGAUAAUGGUUCAGGGUACUCUCUUGGGAAAAAUCUCUAAGAACAGUUACUGGAAUUGCAAUGGAAGAAAAUGAAAUAGUCAUGGACACAAUGGCCCGAAAUGUAAAAGUUUCCUAUGGAGGAGGAAAUUUUAUCAUCAAGAUUCUUUGGUAGUGUGAAGGUCAAACCGCUGAUUUGUUGAUUGAAAAUGACUUCCUUCUUCAACAAACAGUAACUCAAACAUCACAAAUGAUUGGGUUUGAGAAAAAUAAAAAAUUCUAUUGGAAAUCUCUAUUAACAGACGCGGUGUGCGUUACCAGUAAAAGAUUUACAGAUCAAUAUCAGAAGUCGUCAGCGAAGAGUGGUGAUUAUAAGCCAACUUUAGAACCAGUUUUACUGUUACAAGACUAGCUUAAAGGUCACAGUGAAAUAUUGGUCAAUGAAGCAACAAGUUCAGGAGACUCUAAAUCAAAGGAAAAUUCUGCAUAUCAAAUUUCUGACAAUGAGAGUUCUGAUGGAGAAGAAGAAUACAUUAGAGAGCAUAAACUAAAGGUAUAUGCUAAUAAGGUAGAACAAAAGAAAAUACCGACUCUCAUAGAAAUAGAAAAUUUGUUGAAACCAGUAAUCAGUGAAGAUCCUCAGAUGUAUUGGGAAAGAGACCCAAUAUAUUGUCAGCUAAGAAUGCAUGAUGCAAAUGCUAUUUGUCAUGUUACGGCCAUCCCUCAUUAUAGGGAAGAAGAUAGGACAGAAAUGGAAAAUCAGAUCUAAGAACUUCUUGAAAAGAAGUUAAUCAGGCCUUCAAAUAGUCCUUAUCAUGCCCCAGCAUUCUUAGUAAGAAAUCAUGCAGAACAAGUAAGAGGAAAAACCAGAAUGGUAAUCGAUUACAGGAAUGUAAAUAAAAAGACCGUUAAAGAUGGUUAUCAGAUAGCUCAAGUGAGAGUUCUCAUCAACAGGCUUAAAGGAGCAAAAAUCUUCUUCAAGUUUGAUGCAAAAUCAAACUUUUGACAAGUUAAAAUGCAUCCUGAUUCCAUUUCCCUGACAGCUUUUGGAACUCGUCAAGAGCAUUAUGAAUGGUUAGUUAUGCCAUUUGGUAUUAAGCAAGCCCCGUCUAUUUUCCAAAGGAAAAUGGAUAAUAUUUUCAAGCCCUACUCAGAUUUUUGCAUAGUUUAUAUAGAUGACAUUCUUGUCUUCUCUAGAACUAUGAAUCACUACUAGAAUAAAGGACUUAGGCGACCAAAACACGACGAGGAAAGCCUUUUCGUCGCCUAGGUAAGCAGUUAGGCGUCGAAAACUUCAUUCGUCGCCUAAACUAACUUAGGUGACGAACCAUGAUUUGUUUCGUCGCCUUAGAUUACCAAGGAGACAAAAGAAGGACUCAUACUAUUUUCGUCGCCUUAGUAGAUAUUCAGUCGACGAAGAUGGUUUCGCCGCCUAAACUAUCAACUACUUAGGUGACGAACAUGUUAUUUCGCCGCAUAAGUUUAUCUUAGUCGACGAAAGUGGUUACUUAUGCGACGCAGAUGUUCGUCACUUAAGUGAACUCACUUUUAGUAUAACUUGUUUAAUAAGUUACACAUGCAAGUAUACAUAUUUUUGAACCAACUAUAUAUAGGAAGCAAUAUUUUCAAAAAUCUUGUGAAAUAGGAUGUGAUCGGUAUGAUGAAAUACGUCUAUGGUUGAAAAAUCACAUAUUUCCGGUAACGUUUGGUCACCGAUAGAAGCGGUCAACCCCAUUUACGCUUAUGCUUCCCUAUGUGGAGCCUUAUCGUCGGGAGGUGACCAUUCGUAAAUUUUUACAUAGGUGGUUAGAUCUCAUCAAUGUGAGAGUUUUGUGUGUGGAAGAAUCAACCAAAUUAGGCCAUAUAGGGGUAUGUAAGAGCGUUUUCGUGUAAUAAUUAGCGUUGGUUUAGGUUUGACCGUGUGGAUCGAGACCCAAAUCUUAAGGAAAACAGGUGAAUUUUUUUUCAUAGCCGUAUUUAAGUAUACUAAUCAUAUCGUACGGUUGAAUUUUCAUUUUGUGAAAUUUAGCCAUCGGAAUCACAACGUGCCUACUAAUGUGGUAUAGCUUGUUUAGUAGGUUAUAUGUAAGUGUACAUCUUUAUGAACCAACUAUAUAUAGGAAGCAAUAUUUUACAAAAUCACGUGAAAUAGGAUGUGAUCGGUAUGAUGAAAUACAGCUAUAGUUGAAAAAUAACAUAUUUCCGGUAACGUUUGGUCUCUGAUAGAAGCGGUCAACCCCAUUUACGCUUAUGCUUCCCUAUGAGGAGCCUUAUCGUCGGGAGGUGAACAUCCCUAAAUUUUUACAUAGGUGGUUAGAUCUCAUCGAUGUGAGAGUUUUGUGUGUGGAAGAGAAUCAACCAAAUUAGGCCAUAUAGGGACAUGUAAGAGCCUUUUUGUGUGUUAUAGAAUAGUUUGACGACGAAACUGAUAAUUUAGUCGCCUAAAUAACUAAAUUUGGGCGGGUAGAUAAAAAAUUUGGUCUACUUCAGCGGCGAAAUACUUCACUUUCGUCACCUAAGUCUCAAAAUUGGGCGGCAGCGUUUUGCGCUCAAAAUUUGGCCCAAAAUUUGGACCCAUUUUUCAAAACUAAUUUGGGCUUUUAGGGGACGAAAUAUUGGUGUGAUGGUCACCUAGUGUAAACCAAAAACACCCAAAAUCACGCAAAAUCCCCAAGUGAAAUACUAAACCAAAAACACCCAAAAUCCCUAACUGACAGAGGAUCGCCCCUCCCUAUUUUCUUCCUCUAUGCUAUCAAACCCGAUCCUUCCUCCCAUCUGCGCAUUCGAUCUCCACCCAAUCCCUAAUCAAUCUCCACCCUCAUCUCUCCUCCCAUCUGCGCCUCUCUCUCAUCUCUCCUAUGAAAGGGUCAAUCUCCACCCGCAGACUCUCUUGAGUCUCCUCUCAUCUACGCCUCUCUCUCUCCUAAAUCGAUCACAAGGUCAGGGUUUAUGGUUUAUGGUUUAUGGUUUAUGGUUUAUAGUUCACAUUAUUAAUUUAGAUUCAGCAUGAUUCUUAUUAGGCAAACCUUUUGAUUUGCUUGUUCAGACUUAAAUCAAGUACUAAUGGAUGACUGAUUGCAGGUUCAUGUCGUACAAGAGAAACACUGUUCUACUUCCUGCGUUGGUUUCUGGAAGAUACCAACUAGCUUCAUCCUUGAGGUACUUUAUCCAACUUUAAACCUUGAAAACAAUUUUAUAAGUUCCACUUUGUUCUACUUGGAAUUAGCUGAUGGGGUAAGAAUGUGUAUUAAAUAUCAUUUGUACCAUCUCUUUGUACUAGUGUACUAUUGGAAUGCAGAAUUUAACUUUACCAAUCAAGCUCUUCAUCUAAUAGUUUCAGCUGCAUUCUAUUUUGUUUCAGCUGCAUCCUAUUUUGUUUCAGCUGCGUUCUAGUUUCAGCUGCAUUCUAUUUUGUUUUAGCUAAAUUCUAUUUUGUUUCAGCUGCAUCCUAUUUUGUUUCAGCUGCAUUCUUGUUUCAGCUGCAUCCUAUUUUAUUUCAGCUGCGUUCUAGUUUCAGCUGCAUUCUAUUUUGUUUCAUCUGCAUUCUAGUUUCAGCACUACACUAUUUUGUUUCAGCUGCAUUCUAAGCAGAAAGCAUUCAUGAAGUGAAGUGAAAGAGUCUAAACCAAUGCACUGUAUAUAAUGAUUCCUAUAAAUACUGUUGUUCUCCAUGUUCCUUCCUUGCUGGUUUAUGGUUUCUUUCAGUUGCUUUUAGGGAUUAUGGUUUAUGGUUUCUUUCAGUUUAUAGUUGAUCCAUAAUGUGAGAGUUUCUGAUCUUAGAAUGUUAUGUGUUAUUACUUUCGUGUUAUACAUGUACAUUCUUUCUUCCUUAAUUUGUGUUACUUUUCCUCUUAUUGGCGAACAGGCAUACACUUCUUGGAAGGCUAAGCUCCACAAGUUUUUUAAGCAUUACAAAGGGGAAAAGGCUCCAAAAGAGUUUGUGCAAGGAGGAAGGAUGGAUGAGUGGAAUUGGCUUAAGCAACACUUCUUGUCACCUCAGUUUCAGGUACGAUAUGUAAUUUAGUUAGAAGUUUAGUUUAAAUUUAAAGCACUAUGGUAAGUGUAGUAUUUGAUUUCACUUUUGUUUUGGAAAAUGAUGAAUUGAAUCAAAUCAUAUACCUAUAUAUGAGCUUAUGUGAUGCAAUGUGAAGCAGUAACUUUUCUAUAUGUUUUCUUAACGAAAACUCUCAGCUGCAAACUCGGCAAACCGAGACAAAUUAACCAUGCAUCACCACUCCGGUUGUACACCUUUCAUAUACAAUGCAGACAAACUUAGGCGUGAGGGUGAAUCAUUAUACCUUAUCAACGGUUUUGAGGUGACAUACGACGCCCCACAUAACGAGAUUGCAGCCGAAAAAGUCGUAAGUGUUCUUUUAUGUGUUUGCUUAUUCUUUUACUUCAUUUAUAUGAUACUGGACACUGCUUGCUUUCAGUUAUUGUUGGUGUGUGUUGCUUUGUGUUUAUAUGUUGUUGUGUUUUGCAACACUUGAUGUUGUUGUGAGUUGAUAAAAUCUCAUAUGUUUCAGCUAAGUGUUGUUGUGUUGAUGUGUGUUGCUAAGUGUGUAGCAUGUAUCACAUAUAUGUUUCAUUAGAUGCAGCAUGCCUAUUAACUCCUUCAACUUGCUCUUUUUUGAAAUUGUUGUGUUUUGUUGUGUUUCACAUAUUGCUGUUGUGUUUUAGUAAUUGCUAUGUGUUUUGCUGUGUUGUUUGGAUUGUUUUUGUCAUUGCAGAACGAUAUGAGACAGAAAAUCCUAACAAUGCUAAGCGAACAACAGCUGGACACUCUAGAGGAUGAGCUCCUUUAACAAGUACACCUCCGAUCUCAGCUUGACGCAUUUGAGAAGGUCCUUGGGACCAAGGGGGGGGGGAAUAAAGGGGCUUGGGAGAGUUGAAAUUUUGGGCAAGGGAAAAGCAGCAAGGCGUUCUCGUCCCAAUGAUAUAGUUCUUGAGGAGGUUCAGGAGCAUGCCCAACAAGCCCAAGAGGAGGCACGACAUGCUCAGGAGGAGGCACAACAAGCCCGGGAGCAGGCCAAAGUAGCCCAAGAGAAGAUCCUUGAUUAUGAGCGCCAUAUACAAAUGUUGGAGAAGUUUGUGCAGUCAUAGCCGAGCGGACAAGAAGGCCAACAUCUUGAGGUUGAUGCUUUAAACUAGGUCCAUGGUUUUUUGUUUUUGUGAAACCCUUGAUAUUUUGCCUCUUCUUUUGUUAAACAUUGUCUAUAUAGGACUAGUAGGGGCUAGAGUAUGAGGAGGGUUUAAAUUAUGAACUUUGAACUUGCUCUUUUAUUUGUGUAUAUAUACCUUUUGCAAGUUUAGUAUUUUUUGAGUUUGAACUUCUUUUAUUAUGAUUUUGAUUUGCACUAGGUUUUUAACUUUGAAUGUGAACUUGAAAAUAUGCACACAUAAUUACUGUGUGCAUAUCAAUGAUAUAAUUAGAUUUUUUAAUAAUAUAUAAUUAUAAUUUAAAAGCAUAUAUAUAAAAUGUUGAAUUAAGACUUAUGCGGCGAAAAAUGAGAAACCGUCGCCAGAAUUGAAUCCUCGCCUUAAACAUAGCGACGAUUAAUAAAUGGUCGCAUAAAAGGAAACUAAGGCGACUAUAAUUUCCUUUCGUCACCAAUUGUUGGCGACGAUAAUUUCGACGCCUAAAUGUGUCAGUGUUCCUCACCUUAGACUUAUGCGACGAUGAAUAUAUAGUCGCCUAAGUGUUCAUUUAGGCGACCAUUAUAUUGUUUUCGUCGCCUAAGUUCUUACGGGUCCAUGCUGAAGCGAAGAUUGUUAGGCGACGAAACCUUUCGUCGCCUGAGAACUUAGGCGACGAAAAUGAGCAUUUAGGCGACGAAAUCUGUUUGUCACCUGAGUCCUUUAUUUUAGUAGUGAAUGAGCAUCUAAAACACCUAGAACUGGUGUGUAAACUUAUUGUCCAGAAAGGAAUUAUCCUUGGACAGAAGAAAAUUCACCUCAUAAAGGGAGAAAUUGAAUUCCUUGGCAUUCAUGUUAAAGAUGGAGAGAUUCGUCUCCAAGAACACAUUGUAAAGAAAAUCAGCCAGUUUCCAGACAAUAUACCAGAUGCAAAAUCUUUGCAAAAAUUUUUGGGAGUUGUUAAUUUUGCGAGAGACUUUAUUCCUCAAGUCAAUGGUCUCACUGCACUUCUCUCUCCAAAAACAAGUUCUAAAAAGAUAUGGUCUUUUACAGAAGAUGACAGUAAUACUGUCAGAAAAAUUAAAGAAUUAACAAAAAAUCUUCCUCGCUCCUUUACAAUUACUUGAAGAAGGAAAUUUGAUCAUUUUGCAAACUGAUGUAAAUAAUUAUUAUUGGGCAGGAGUUGUUUUAGCUGUUGCUCUAGAUACAAAUCAUGAAAAGAUUUGUAAAUUUUAUCAGGAAAGUUUAAUGCAGCAGAGUUAAACUAUUCUACUGGAGACAAUGAAGUCCUUGCCUUAAUUAAAUGCAUUAAGGGUGCUGAGGCAUUCUUAGGAAAUAAAUUUGUAGUUAGAACUGAUAACAAAAGAGUUAAAAAUUUUAAAAACUACAAAUUAACUGAUGCUGCUGAUAGAGGAAGAGUUUUAAGAUGACAGAUGUUUUUAACCCAAUAUGAAUAUUGACACGACCCACCUCGAAUUUCAUCCUGAAACCCGGAGUAAGUCGUGCAGGGACCACCUCCAAGGAAAAUUUACUGAGAAGAUUUCUAAAAUCUCCCUUGAAAAUGGACAACCCUAACUCGAAAAUUCCAAAUUACACUCCUAAUACAACACGUCCAAACAUCACAUAAUUAUCCUUCAAAAAUUCUAAACAUAAUAUACAAUAAUCCCAAAGUAUUCAGAGCUACUAGACAGUAGCGAAAGCAAGAAAACACGAGUAGGUUAAACAUGUAACCUACUGAUGAAAACUGGCGGAAAUGCGGGUGACUAUGCCUCGCCUCCUACUAGAUCCAACCCGAACUCUGCAGACUGGACAAUUUAAAACGAAGGGCCCAGGGGAAAACAUUUAAUAACGUUAGAGUGAGUGGACAAAAAUAAAAUAAUAAAUAAAAUAUUUAUGUUUCCCCAAAUUAAUUUCUAAGGAAAAAUCAAAUGCAUGCCGCAAGCGAUAAAACUUUUAUCUCAUAAAAUAUCGAGCAUCUCAGACUCUAUAAUAUAUGUAUGUAUUUACACUCGUCCAUACUCCCUAUAUAAAUUCAUGGGUCUAUAUAGGGCUACUACGCUCGCGUCUAACGCUCACGUCACGCCUUAAUGCGGUGCUACACUACGCCAUUAAGGUGGACAAACAGAUGUAUAAAUAUGUGUCCAUACCCCCUAUACGAAUUAAACACUCAAAUAGGGCUACUACGCUCACGUCACACCAUAAUGCGGCUAUAUACUACGCCAUUAAGGUGGACAGACACAUAUGGCUAGCUAACAUUUCAUAUACAUACUCUCUCAUAAAUACAUAUUUAUAUCCACCGAAAAUCCCAUUUUCGGUAACUCUCCAAGAGAAAUAAAAUUCGUCAAAUUAAAAUGACGUCAAAAUAUUCUGCAACAAAUAUUGUUCAACCAUGAACUCUAGCAUGCAUUUUAUUUAAAACAAAAGUUCACUCACAAAUUAGGCCUAAGCCUGACGUCGAUCUGGGGCCUCGUCUGCUCGAGCCUCCUCACGUCCUGUUCCAAAUAUAAUAUUAAUUUCCCAACUAACAAUCCAAUAUUUAAUCAAAAUAGGCAAAAUUACCCGAGAGCCAUAAAUACGCUCAUCAUUGCCUAACUUCGAUAUUCUUAAAUUGAAACGAUCCGAACUUAAAUAUCAUACUCGACAGUCGUAAAUACAACCUCCCCAAAAUACGACUUAAAUCCUACGGCCGGAUUCUACAUUAAUUAACCGCCAAAAAUACCAAACUUCGGAAAUUCACAAACCUAUCCAAAUCUCAUCCAAAAAUUCCAUAAAUCACAUCAAUAUAAUCCCCUUCAUAUUCCACAUUUAAAACCCUAAAAUCUCCCAAACCGCGGCGGCGGCUCCGCGGGCAGCGGCGGCCGGAGACCAAUUCCGGCGACCUCCGAUUCCUAUGAAAUUUUGACAGAAUAAUCCUCUCAUCAUGCUCCACAACUCUCUUAACUAGCACAAACACCAAUUUCAAGCCUAACUAGGGUAAUCGACUAAAAACAUCCUAAAAGCCCUAGAAAUUUCAACUCCACAUUUCUCCUUACCUAGCUCAAGAGAGGGUGAGUCCUUUUAGGGCAAGGCUGCUGGGUUGGAGGGCUACAAAACCGUACCAAGCUUACCCGGAUUGGUGGCCGGAGAAGGAAGUUCCGGCGAAAAGCUUCCCAGUGUCUCCAGCGAGUUUUCUCUUCUUCCGGCGGGCUAACGGCUCGGGGGCUAGGCCGAGGAGGGACAGGAGGAGAUGGGGGUCCGAACUGGGGUGGAGCGGCGGCCGGUGNNNNNNNNNNNNNNNNNNNNNGGGGGGGGGGAGGGGAAAACGGGAGAGAAGAGAGGGAAACGGGUUGGGCCUCUCCAACCGGUCCAACUCCCCAUUAUACCCAACUCUCACAAAAAAUAAAACACCCCAAAAAAUAAUACCCGAAUAAAAAUUACCUUUUACUAGCUAAGAUUUACCAUUUUUACCGUCGUCAUAUUUUCUCCCACGAAUAAUUCCCCGAAAUUAAUCGUCCUUUAAAAUACCUCUAGGGACCAAAUAAAAUAUUACCUCAAUGACGGGGACGGUAAAAUUCUUAUUAUAAUCAAGCUAGUAAAUAAGGUAAAAAUAUAAGGGUCGGGAAAUAUGAUGUUGAAAUGGUUGCAGGUGACAAGAACUAUUUGCCUAACGCUCUUACAAGAGAAAUGGCGAUGUUUGAAAGAGAAGGUCGCAAUCCAAGAAGCCGGAAACUGGUAUCAGAAGAAAAGAGUCUAUGGGAAGGAUACAAAAGCGGUGAUAAAACCGUAGGACCUCUCCAUGAUGGACCAGGUUAUCAAUACAUUGUUUCUUAUAGAGCUGCUGAGUCAAGCCAAUCUUCUGAAAGAAUCAAGCCAAGACCAGAUCAUGGAUGGGAUGAACAUUCAAACCACUCUAGAACCACCCUAAAAGAUGAAGAUCAAUCUAGUGCUUCCAAUGAAGAAAAACUCGUAAAUGAGUUCUUGCUGUGUCCGAAAGGAACAACCUCAACUGACCGGUCUGAGAGUAAAAGACCGGCUAGCCCGUCUCAAAAGGCAGACGACAAAGGCAUGUCAAGUCCGUUUAUGGCUGCUGCUUUGUCAAAAUACAGAAGAGCCCCUUUUAGGGCAACUAAACUACCCGCAGUUACUAGGAAGAAAGUUAUUCAUGAUCAAUCUUUAAAGAUCUUUCAAAAACCAGUAUUCAGUACAGAAAGACUAUUGGCCUUUAAGCAGAAGAUUAUUAUAGAUAAUAUUCUGAAUGCAUUUUACGAGGAGAAUGAAGCUCACAUGCUUCAAACACUUAAAGCUUUAAUAGAAGAAUUGUAUGGAUUCCAUACAAAGGACAAAAGUGUACAAGCAGAAAAUCCUGCAGGAAAUUCUAAGGCCUUAUACCUUGAAAAUCCUGAAAGUGCUAAAAUCCCAAUGUUAGCACUAAAAGAAUCUGAAUGGUAUAGCUUUCAUAAUCUCUUAGGAGAAAGAAAAGAUGUUCUUCCAAGAACAUUAUCAGCAGUUCCUGGCCCAUAUUACGGGAGAUAUUUGGUAGAUGUUCAAGCAAAGCAUCCCCAAAAACACAAGUUGUGGCUUGUGGAAAACGGUUUUGUUCAUAACCUUUAGACAAAAACUAAUGAAGAUUUGAAAGGAUUCCCAUAUAUAAUAUAUGAAGCUGUCAAGAACAUUAGACCUAAUGGAU
rnacentral:lncRNA from 1 species